AUGACCACGCCCUCGCAAUUCCAUUCCCAGCCGCUCCCAGUAAUCCUACUCCUCCUCCUUUCAGCGGCGACUCACUUGAUCCUGGAGGCUGCUGCUGCUGAACAAGAUGAGCAGCAGCGGAUCACACGUGCGGGUUGCGCCGACAAGUGCGGCAACAUAAGCAUCCCGUACCCGUUUGGCAUGGAGCCAGGCUGCUUCCGUGAGGGCUUCCAGGUCACCUGCAAUGACUCCUCGAAUCCCCAUCGCGCCUACCUUGCCAACAACGGAGUAUACCAGCGAUCGUUGAGUAUUAUGACAGAAUUGUCGAGGAAGGGUGAUACCAUCAAGAUUGGCAUAAAGAAGGCAAUAACACGCCCUUGGAGCUCAUCGAUAUAUCAGUUGCAAAGGCUGAGGCGCGCGCAUACGACGCGGUCUCAUCUGUGUGCAACCCAAAUGAAAGCGACUACUACUCCAAGUGUCAACAGGUGUGGUUCGGCCCGUUUCUCCUGUCGGUGACGCGCAACGUCCUCAUGGGCGUCGGCUGGAAAAUCGAGCCUAUGGUCACCAGCAACCUGUGGUCACCGUUGAGAGGAGGCGACUCGUCGAAUGAAUUCACUCUCACCUGCAUUUCCGACCUGAUGGGCCUGCCGCAAUUCCUCAAGUUCGCAGCCAACGGGUCGUGCACAGGGCGGGGCUGUUGCGAGGCUGAAUUGCCGGAAGCAUUUCCUGUCCCCGAGUUUGGCCUGUGGUUCAGUUCUGGAAGAAACAACACCAUGUUUGAGACCACUCCCUGCUCCUACGCUAUGGUGGUGGAGAAGUCACGGUACAACUUCACCACGCCGGACCUGUACGGCUAUGCUGUGCUGCCCAAGAGAUUUCCAAGGGGCGUCCCAUUUGUCCUUGAUUUCUUCAUAACGAACGGAUCAUGUCCGCUGAAAGGCCAGCAGCCACCUCCAGACUACGCCUGCGUCAGCGGCAACAGCUACUGUGAGAAUGCGACUAGUGGCAAGGGCUAUGUCUGCAAGUGUUUGAAGUUUUACGAUGGCAAUCCUUACAUCCCUGAUGGAUGCCAAGACAUCGACGAGUGCAAGCUCCGAGAGCUAAAUCCUAAGCUCCGUGACUCGUAUCCAUGCUCUAGUGACGGGAUAUGCAAAAACACGUUGGAAGGCUAUGACUGUCCAUGCAAGCCAGGAAUGAAAGGCGACGGCAUGAAAGGAACCUGCAUGGAUAAAUUCCCACUACCAGCAAAGGUGAUUGUGGGUGGAAUAGGGGGUAUUUCUUAAUGGCAAUCCUAUCAUUCCUUAUUCUUCUUCGCAAAGAGAAAAGGAAAACGAGAGAAUUUUAUAAAAAGAAUGGUGGGCAUGUACUAGAGAAGGCAAAAUUCAUAAAACUUUCCGAAAAGGAGAAGCUCAAGCCAAUUUUGAAGAGUAGCAAUUUUAUUGGAAAAGGUGGAUUUGGAAAAGUUUAUAUGGGCCUUCUUAAUAAUGAACAAGUCGCACUGAAGGAGCCAAUUAGUGGAACUAUCCUAGAGAAUGAACAAUUUGCAAAUGAAGUCAUCAUUCAGUCUCAAGGCAUUCACAAGAAUAUCGUUAGGCUCAUAGGUUGUUGCCUAGAAGUCGAUGCCCUGAUUCUCGUGUAUGAGUUUCUCCCCAAUGGUAGCCUGGACGACAUCCUUCAUGGUGAUGGCAAGGAAGCUCUCAACUUAGGCCUGCGCUUAAGUAUUGCUGCAGAAUCAACAGAUGGCUUGGUUUAUCUGCACACAAAAACCAAUACCAAGAUCCUACAUGGUGACGUGAAACCCGCAAAUAUACUUUUGGAUGAUAAGUUCAUGCCAAAGAUCUCAAAUUUUGGCAUAUCAAGAUUGAUUGCGAGAGACAAACAACACACGGGAUCUAUCAUUGGUGACAUGAGCUAUAUGGAUCCGGUGUAUCUACAAACAGGCCUACUAACUGAAAAAAGUGAUGUCUACAGUUUUGGAGUUGUUAUCUUGGAGCUUAUUAGUGGGAUGAAAGCUACAAAUUCUAACGGUGGUAGCUUGGUGACCAAUUUCCUUGAAGCAUACAAAAAGGAGAAGGAAGCAACUCGGUUAUUUGGCAAGAAUAUUGCAGUAGCCGAAGAUUUGGAGGUUCUUGAUAGUUUGGCAGGGAUCGCUGUUGAAUGUCUUAGCCUUGUUGUGGAUCAAAGACCAUCGAUGACAAACAUAGCAAAGCGCCUUCACAAUUUGACUGAAUGCCGUUAG
rnacentral:rRNA from 1 species